rnacentral:rRNA from 1 species
UGAAUACGAGAUGCUACGGCGUCGAAGCAGUGUAUGUCAGACUUCCAAGAAAAGCUCGCAAUGUCAUAAAUAAAGAAUGCCUGUACCAUAACCGACACAGGUGGGUAGGUAGAGUAUACUAAGGGGCGCGAGAUAACUCUCUCUAAGGAACUCGGCAAAAUAACUCCGUAACUUCGGGAGAAGGAGUGCCUUCUUUAAGAAGGUUGCAAUAACAAGAUCCAAGCAACUGUUUAUCAAAAACACAGGUCUCCGCUAAGUCGUAAGACGAUGUAUGGGGGCUGACGCCUGCCCAGUGCCAGAAGGUUAAAGAAGUUGGUUAGCUUUUGCGAAGCUGAUGACUGAAGCCCUGGUGAACGGCGGCCGUAACUAUAACGGUCCUAAGGUAGCGAAAUUCCUUGUCGGGUAAGUUCCGACCCGCACGAAAGGCGUAAUGAUUUGGAUACUGUCUCGGAGAGGGACUCGGUGAAAUAGACUUGUCUGUGAAGAUGCGGACUACCUGCACCAGGACAGAAAGACCCUAUGAAGCUUUACUGUAACUUGAAAUUGAAAUUGGACUUUAUUUGCGCAGUAUAGGUGGAAGGCGUUGAAAGUAAUCUUGCGGGAUUAGUGGAGCCAUCAGUGAGAUACCACUCCUAUAAUGUUAGAUUUCUAACUUUGGAUCAUGAUCUGGUCAAAGAACAGUUUCAGGCGGGCAGUUUGACUGGGGCGGUCGCCUCCCAAAUGGUAACGGAGGCGUACAAAGGUUUCCUCUGAACGGGUAGAAAUCGUAUCUAGAGUGUAAAGGCAUAAGGAAGCUUGACUGUGAGACCUACAAGUCGAGCAGGGACGAAAGUCGGUCUUAGUGAUCUGACGGUGCUGAGUGGAAAGGCCGUCACUCAACGGAUAAAAGUUACUCUAGGAUAACAGGCUGAUCUCCCCCAAGAGUUCACAUCGACGGGGAGGUUUGGCACCUCGAUGUCGGCUCAUCGCAUCCUGGGGCGGUAGUACGUCCCAAGGGUUGGGCUGUUCGCCCAUGAAAGCGGUACGCGAGCUGGGUUCAGAACGUCGUGAGACAGUUCGGUCCAUAUCCGGUGUAGGCGUUAGAAUAUUGAGAGGAGCCUUCUUUAGUACGAGAGGACCGAGAAGGACAUACCUCUGGUGUACCAGUUAUCGUGCCAACGGUAAACGCUGGGUAGCUAUGUAUGGAGAGGAUAACCGCUGAAAGCAUCUAAGUGGGAAGCCCACCUCAAGAUGAGUAUUCUCAC